CACUUUGAGCAGUGGCAGUAUUAUAGCCAGUGAGAUUUAUCCAAGGCGUGAUUAUUGCUAAUUGAAAACUUUUCCCAGUACCCCACCAUGACAACUUGAAAUAUAGUCAGCAUUGGCAAUUUUUGACAAUCUCUACAGAGA